GCGGGGGCCGGAGGGGGAGUGGUCAGCACGCCGGGCCGGCCUUCUUCGGCUCCUCCCCUGGAGCUGCGGGUAGUCAGGUGCGGCGCUCGGGUUGUGGGGGGCUACUCCAGGAUGAGCUCUGUGGCUGCCGCCCUGGGCUGCUCCGCGGGGCGCGGGGUCCGGGGCGCCCGCUGGUUGGCUCGUGCGCCUCCAAUCCCCGCACGCGCCCCGAUUUCCUGCUCCGGGGACCGCUGCCGGUUAGCGCUGAUGCAACUGCUCCUGCCAUUGCCACCGCCUGCCGGUUGCUGGGGCUACAGGGCUCAGGUGGGAGGGGGUAGGAGCAAGUAUCCUUCUAGCACCCUCUCCUGCACCCCCAAAGAGGCUGGCGCUGUGAGCCUGGUAGGUCGCUACUCGCUGGGGCUUCGGGUCCACCUGGAAAUGAUGGAAAGAUCCUACCAAGAUUCAUGUUUACAUAGUCACCAUGGUUCCAGCACCAUAUGAUUGAAACAAAGAUGGAUCAUGGGAAGAAGAGAGCCUCUCUAUAAAAUGCUACUCCCUAGAAGACUGUCCAGGACAAGAUGUCAAAGGUUCCAAGAUUGGUACAAAAGACUGUAAUACAAACCACAGAGAGCAACUGAAACCAACAAAAGGACUCCAGUGUCUCGUCCAAGGUGCAAGGAGCAGAUUGGUGAAGGCAGGAGAGGCUGGCUUGCAUUAAGCUGACCUUCUAAAGGGAAAACUGGAAGAGAACAUGGUAGCUGGACAGAACCAGCCACCGGGUUCCAGAUGCUAGCAUGAUGCUGACCAGACUUCCCUGGACAGACAACUCCACCAAUGUGUCCUGCCGCUCCGAUUCCCCAGAACCCCACCCCACUAGGGAAAGAGAGAGGCAGGCUGGGAGUAUGGAUUGACCUGUCAAUCCCCAUGUUCAGUGGGGAAGCAAUUCCAGAAGCCAGACCUUCCAUCUUCUGCAUCCCACAAUGACCUUGGGUCCAUAUUCCCAAAGGGUUAAAGAAUAGGAAAGCUAUCAGGGGAGGGAAUGGGAUACACUGUUCUGGUGGUGGGAAUUGUGUGGAGUUGUUCCCCUCUUAUCCUAUGGUUUUGUCAGUGUUUCCUUUUUAUAAAUAAAAUAAUAAUAAUAAUAAUAAAAGUAUGUGUUUGUGCUCUAAGGCUAUACAAAUGCUGCUAUUUGCAAGUUAUCAGCAUCACCUAAAAUAGUCCCUAUAUUUAUUAGUAGUAGUCUGGUGCCAAUUUGCUUCCUCUCUAUUUCCUCGUAGAAUGCUGAUUUCACUUCUUUUCCUCCCUCUCUUCCUCUCUCUCUUUCUUUCACUGUCCUUUUUGUUUGUUUGUUUGUUUGUUCUUGUGUCAUUGCCUGUUUGCAUCACCUCUCUGCUGCCCUUUCUGUAGCACUUGGUUGCAGUGCUACAGCUGAAGUGGAAAACAGAGCCAAGUGACAAAUUAGGAAAUGACAACUCAGCCUUCAGUGUGUGUGUGUGUGUGUGUGUGUGUG